rnacentral:rRNA from 1 species
UGAGGAAUAUUGGGCAAUGGAGGCAACUCUGACCCAGCCAUGCCGCGUGAAGGGAGACGGCCCUAUGGGUUGUAAACUUCUUUUAUAGAGGAAGAAACCCUCCCACGUGUGGGAGGCUGACGGUACUCUACGAAUAAGGACCGGCUAACUCCGUGCCAGCAGCCGCGGUAAUACGGAGGGUCCAAGCGUUAUCCGGAAUCAUUGGGUUUAAAGGGUCCGUAGGCGGGCAAUUAAGUCAGAGGUGAAAUCCCACAGCUCAACUGUGGAACUGCCUUUGAUACUGGUUGUCUUGAGUUAUAUUGAAGUGAGUAGAAUAUGUAGUGUAGCGGUGAAAUGCUUAGAUAUUACAU